CAUUUUUCUAUUUGUUGAUAACAGAAGUGUCCUUGUGUAUUGUUUAGCAGAUAUUCACCGAGAAACCCCGGCGUAAUCUAGUGUUGGCACGACAAAAAGACACAAGGAAGUAGCGAGUACGACUCAAGUUAUCUGGAGGCGCCCAGUUUUUAUUGGUGGAAGAAGGAACCCAGUACAAUAUACCUGGGAAGAGACCACCGACCUUCCGAAAGUAAACUAGGAAACUUCCUCACUUAGGGCGCGAGUGGGAUUCGAACCCGCACCGACAGAGAUAUAUUUCACCCCUAAACGAUGAAGGAGACCGCGAAAUUAGCUAAUUGAGCCUCCGGCAAACCGCUAAAAGGAGAACCAUUAGCUGAUGGAAAACUGCACGGCAGCCACUCUACCCUUAGUGCAAGAGACAGUAUAGAUAUGUACACCCAACUACAAUAGCUUAGAGUCAGCAAGCAGUGUUCAAUUAGACAGUACUCAACAUGGAGAGGAAACCAACCUACCAUCAGGGUCAUCAUCCUAGUGGAAACCACGUCCACAGAUAUAACCCCUGCUCAAACGACCACACAUACCUCAGCAUUAUUUGGGAUUGCUAGACCAAUAGGCCUAGGAAUCGACUCAAACAUUAAGGCAAAUGUAUUUGCUAACGAGUACAUUAAACUUUCUUCAUUGACAACCAAAAAUAAAAAAACACCCACUGAAGAGUCCAAGUUUAAAACAGUAGAACAAAAUGAUCAGUUGAUAUUUAUCAGAACAAAUGGCAGUCAAAAAAUCAAAACUCUGUCACAGUGGAUAGAAGCAUUCCUUGUGUUUGUCGAUAUAUAUUGUUGAAUAUUCCCCGAGGAGACAAGUCUCCCUUUAACCUACAUGUAUGCCCAAACCGUUCAAGGAAUCUCAAAAUCGUAUGGCGAUGAGUUAGCCAUUGACUAGGAAGUAAAAAGUUAGACGGUGGCGUCAAGUCGAGCCCCGCGCUUGUCCUUGGAAUCAUAAAAAUGUGUUAGGUAAACGUUUUUGAUAGAAUUUAUACCUAGAUGUUUAUCAAUAAAUAUUUCAGAUUUCACAUUUAAAUUUGAGCAAUAAUGAGUUCAGAAUAAUUGUUCAAACAAAGUAUCUUUUUCAAGAUACAUAUAGUAUAAAACGUAAGAGUUGAUUCAUUUAUUUUGCACAUUGCUGUAUUCUCCUUCUGCUAGGUUAUAGUAAGGGUUUUCUGACUCCGACUUUGUGGUAUUAUCCAACUCAGAAAUAUGGCUUUCAUGCUCCAACGCAAGAUAAACAUUAUCGAUGAUAUUUGAAUUAUCCACACAUGCAUAUUGAUGUGAUUCGGAAUUUUCUGCUUCCAAAUUUUUACUGUUUGUAGAUUCAUUUGUAGCAUUUCCUUUGCAUCUCCUUGGAAUAAAUAGAAAAUAUA